CCUACGGGAGGCUGCAGUGGGGAAUAUUGGACAAUGGGGGGAACCCUGAUCCAGCCAUGCCGCGUGUGUGAAGAAGGCCCUCGGGUUGUAAAGCACUUUCAGUGAGGAAGAACGCCUGGUGGUUAAUACCCAUCAGGAAAGACAUCACUCACAGAAGAAGCACCGGCUAACUCCGUGCCAGCAGCCGCGGUAAUACGGAGGGUGCGAGCGUUAAUCGGAAUUACUGGGCGUAAAGCGCGCGUAGGUGGCUUGAUAAGCCGGUUGUGAAAGCCCCGGGCUCAACCUGGGAACGGCAUCCGGAACUGUCAAGCUAGAGUGCAGGAGAGGAAGGUAGAAUUCCCGGUGUAGCGGUGAAAUGCGUAGAGAUCAGGAGGAAUACCAGUGGCGAAGGCGGCCUUCUGGACUGACACUGACACUGAGGUGCGAAAGCGUGGGUAGCAAACAGGAUUAGAUACCCCAGUAGUC
rnacentral:rRNA from 1 species